rnacentral:rRNA from 1 species
GACGAACGCUGGCGGCGUGCUUAACACAUGCAAGUCGAACGGAAAGGCCCCUUUGGGGGUACUCGAGUGGCGAACGGGUGAGUAACACGUGAGUAACCUGCCCUUGACUUCGGGAUAACUUCAGGAAACUGGGGCUAAUACCGGAUAGGAAUCCUUGCUGCAUGGUGGGGGUUGGAAAGCUUCGGCGGUUUUGGAUGGACUCGCGGCUUAUCAGCUUGUUGGUGGGGUAGUGGCUUACCAAGGCUUUGACGGGUAGCCGGCCUGAGAGGGUGAGCGGCCACAUUGGGACUGAGAGACGGCCCAGACUCCUACGGGAGGCAGCAGUGGGGAAUAUUGCACAAUGGGCGGAAGCCUGAUGCAGCAACGCCGCGUGCGGGAUGACGGCCUUCGGGUUGUAAACCGCUUUCAGCAGGGGCGAAGCUUGUGGUGACGGUACCUGCAGAAGAAGCACCGGCUAACUACGUG